rnacentral:rRNA from 1 species
AUACCCCAUAACAUUUAGAAAAGGCAUCUUUUCUUUAUCAAAGUUCAGGCGGUUAAAGAUGGACAUGCGGUGCAUUAGCUUGUUGGUGAGGUAACGGCUCACCAAGGCUACGAUGCAUAGGGGGUCUGAGAGGAUGAUCCCCCACACUGGUACUGAGACACGGACCAGACUCCUACGGGAGGCAGCAGUAGGGAAUAUUGGGCAAUGGACGAAAGUCUGACCCAGCCACGCCGCGUGAAGGAUGACUGCCCUAUGGGUUGUAAACUUCUUUUGUAUGGGAAGAAAAUUCCGAACGUGUUCGGAGCUGACGGUACCAUAAGAAUAAGCAUCGGCUAACUCCGUGCCAGCAGCCGCGGUAAUACGGAGGAUGCAAGCGUUGUCCGGAUUCAUUGGGUUUAAAGGGUGCGUAGGCGGAGAAUUAAGUCAGUGGUGAAAGCUUACAGCUUAACUGUAAAAAUGCCAUUGAAACUGAUUUUCUUGAGUUCGAUUGAGGUAGAUGGAAUGUAUCAUGUAGCGGUGAAAUGCUUAGAUAUGAUACAGAACACCAAUUGCGAAGGCAGUCUACUAAGUCGAUACUGACGCUGACGCACGAAAGCAUGGGGAGCAAACAGGAUUAGAUACCCUGGUAGUCCAUGCCCUAAACGUUGAUUACUCGUUGUUGGCGAUACACUGUCAGCGACUAAGCGAAAGCGUUAAGUAAUCCACCUGGGGAGUACGAUCGCAAGGUUGAAACUCAAAGGAAUUGAUGGGGGC